ACAAAAUAUGUGUUACAUGAGGACAAAUUACAAAUCAAAUACAAUAAAUGACAGAAUAGACAGGUAACUAUUAACAAAAGUGUAAUUUCUAAAGAUAAUAAAACUUGUAAGAUACAUGCAUCUUUCUAAAUGAAGGUAGAUAGUUUCUUAAUAAAUAUAGCUAGAUUAUACAAUAACUGACAGUGACACAAUGACAGCAUAUUUUGCAUUUUCAGUACAGAUGGGUAUGUUGUAUAAUAUUUCGGUAUAUAUUUCUUCCGAAGUUCAGUAAUAGAACUAUUAUUACAUACAUAUAAAUAAUGAUAUUCAUCACCAAUACAUGAUUCAUUACAUAAGGUACAUAUGCGAUCUGUUCUAGCGAUGUUGUACCAUCUGCCAGUUUCCAUAGGAAUUUUUAGGUUACAUGUUCUCAGUUUUGAAAUCCAGAUUCUUUUAUCCUCUGGAAGACGUAAUAGAUAAUUUUCCAGACCAAACUGAGAUUUAAAUAACUUAUAAUAUUCGCCACGAGACGAGUUAUCAAUAUUACUG
rnacentral:lncRNA from 1 species